CCUACAGCAUUUUAUUUUCAAGGGAAAUAAUUGUGGUCUGACUGUAUUAUUUCAAAAAUCACAUUUGAGAUUUUUUUACUUGCACACUGGUACAGUUUUUGCGGGGAAGCGAAAGUUGCUGGAAUUUUGUCUUCUUCUAAAAACAAGUGUCUGAUACAUGUAGUUGCAGUCUGUCUUUAGAAGCUGUUGAAGUAACAAGAAAGAGGCUACAUUGACAUCCUGUUUUGGUAGGGAGAAGUUUGAGUAUGUACAGUUGUUUGACCUUUUUUACCAUGUGGCAGUCCCAGAUGAUGUUACCAUUAUGAAUAAAUGCAGGGGAACUUGAAGACAAUGGUUAGUGCAGAAGGGACAUAAAAGUAAUGUGAAAGUAACAGAUAUAAAUAAGAAGUGCUACAAGUGUGUUGUCAUGUGAAAAGGACUUUACCCCAACUGUGCUGCAUGAUGUAUAUUCAAGAGUGAUACAGCCAUGCACCAUCUGUAAACUGAGAUGGACCCACACAUGAAAUAUGUUGACUUUUUCCAUGUAUUAUCAUCUGUACAGAAUGUGUUUAUGACAAGACUGUAUACACACAUAUUGUUAAAUCAUUUUUUAUUUCCAUUAUGGCAUGUAUGUAAGAAGAAAACAUUAAUUAAACAAUUGCAUUCAUAGAAAUGUUAAAAUGUGAUCAAUCUAAUUUAAAGAAUAACCUUUAUUUGGACUUUCUAAGUUUCAUAUUAUUUUUGGUGGAGAUUGGCCCAGUCAUUCAGCAUCUUAUACUGUCUGUGAGUCAUUUCUUGUAUGUUAUAGUUUUCUUAAUAAUGCAAAAUAUCAAAAUAAUGGUUAGAUGAACUCAUUCAUUAGCUCAUUCAUCACUUGUACAUUAAUGUUAA